ensembl:lncRNA
GUGGGCUUUGAGGUUUCAGAAGCUCCAGCCAGGCCCAGCAGCUCACUUGCUCCUCCUGCUGCCUGCUGAUCCAGAUGUGGAGCUCUCAGCCACUUCUCCAGCACUGUCUGCCUGCACGCUGACCAACUCCCUGCCAUGAUGACAACGGACUCACCUCUGAACUGGAUCAAACUCAAGACCUCGGCCUUGCAAGCAAGCCUUUUACUGACUGAGAUACCUCCUCAGCCCUCAAUUUUAAAUUAAUUUGAGAACAGAUCAAGCAUGAAAAGAUGGAAGAACUUACUUCAGUGGAAUUAGGGCCAGGGCACUUGACUGUGUGCCCAGCCUGGGACUUGCUAUGGAGUCACAUAGGCAGGCCCCCACUUGGAUCUUAGACACGUCUUUAACUGAGUCCCAUUAUGCUGAAGGACAGGAGGCUGAACAGGAACAGAAGGUGUGCUGAGCAAGAGCCCAGGCACUACUGACGAAGAUGGCAGCUGCCUUGAUGGGAGGAUUGCACAUUGGGAUGCACUGUGACAGCAAGCACUGGCCACCGGCUGCUUCAGUGAGACAGUUGCCUCUCAGAUGGCCCCAGAAACCUGCUGGUCCUUCUGUGGGCCAAGGACUUCCUGGGUAAGAUGUUGCCGUCCUGAGGAAGAUGGCCAAAUUCAAAAUAAGCAGAUCCACCAGACUUACGGGGAAUACAGGUGAGAGUACAGGAGUGGAGAUGACUCAAGGACAUUUACAUCACCAAAGGCCACUUCAUGAAUGACAGCUCAUGAAAGCUGGAACACAAUUCACAACUUGAAGGCAGCUCAACAGGGCCAGAUGAGGGAGCACCACCUGUAAUCAGCCCUGGAAUAAGAUGGAAACUGGAGGCAGGAGAAUCUGCCUGAAAACUAUGGGCCAGCCUCCUGCAGUAUUCUAUACAGCAGUGGAAACAGGAAGAGAGACUCAAAAGAGCAGGGAAGAUGGCAACCGGCUUCUGAAAGCUCUCUGACCUUCAUGUGCUUACACACAAGAUCUUGGCCUGCCUCCUGUCACUCCUCCCAGCUUGCUCAGAGUGUCUUCUCUUGAUCUCUGAGCACAUAGCUCUUGGAGAAAGAUCCACACAGCAUGGGAAAUCUGAGCCAGUCUCCAUCUUCAAGGUCAGCCUGAAAGGCAAGCCGAGUUGGAGGAUGAAGGAGAUGCUCGCUUGCUCCAUCCUCACCACCUCCUCCUUAGCAGCCCAGUGUGGAGCCAGAGCUCCUGCCCAUCUUACAGCUUGUUGAGAAGAACAUGCUGCCUGAAGGACACUUUAUAACUCCAUAAAUAAUCACGAUGGGGCGAGUGCAAAGAUGAGAGGCACUCCCUGAAGGAGUGGAGGGGCUGGGCUUCAGUUCUGGGGCCCAGGCCCAUUGUCCUGGUACUGGUUCCUCCCUCUGAAGAGCUGCUUUUAGCUCAGCCUUGAUGCUGUCAGCAUCUCUUCCCACCCCUGGUGAUUUCCCCCCACAGUAUUGUUGUUACUAUAGAAUAAGGCAAGUGGUCCAGGCAGAGCGGGGAGCUGCUGGUCACAGGGAUGGAUGCUGGGGAUCGAUCCCUCUGAAGAUGAAUCACAGGGCGAUGCACAAAGAAAACCCCUUUGGUCUGAACAGGCAGAUGAUAUUCCUGACAGGGCCUCUCUUCCUUGGUGAUUGGUUGUGAUUGGUGGGAGAUAACAGGGGUGGAUGGGGAUGAAAGGAAAAAAGGAGAGGUGAGCAUGAGAUAGACAGGAACAGGGACAAAGACACAAUGGUGUGAGGAAAGAUAUGCAAAUGGAGACACAGAGAGGAGAAGGGCGGAGACAGAGCGGGAGAUAAAUGGACCUCCCAGGAGAGAAGCACCAAAAGGCAGUCAUGCUUUACUUUCAACUUAGGAUACAAUUUGGGCAGGGCAGCCUGCAUAGCCUGCUGGCAAUAAGCAUUAUCCAGGGCCUGGGGAAUUGGUUCAGUUGGUCAAGUUCUUGCCAACCUGAGUUCAGAUCCAGAACUUACAUAAAUAGCUCCCCCGUCAGAGGGGAGCACACAUCUAACCCUGACACUAGGAGGCAGACGAAGCAGAGCUCUGGCUUUCCUGCAUACCCAGCUAGGUGACUUGUGAGCUGUGGGCUCAGUGAGUGAUCCUGUCUCAGAAAAACAAGGUGAAAGUGAUGCAAGAAAAGAGCUGACAUUGUCCUCUGGCCUCCAUGUGCACAUCUGUGCUGUGCACCCUCACACUCACACAUGCAACAUAUGAACAUGUGCAUACACUUAAACCCAACACACAUGCAUACAAAAUAAUAACCUUUAGUUCCAGCACUUGGGAGGCAGAGGCAGAGGUAUCUCUGUGAGUUCAAGGCCAGCUUAGUCUACAUAACAAGUUUCAAGCCAGCAGGGUUACAUAAUGAGAGCCUGUCUCAAAAUUAACAAAAUAAAAUGAUAUAAAACCAUUAAUUAGGAAUUUGGGUCAUGUUAGGCUUUGUUUAAAAAUCUUCUAAACAAGUGACUAGCUCUCAUCUAUCAAUGGAUUGCUCUGCAUGGAGCUUCAUUAUGGGGAGGAGAAACACACUCACUCUCCUUCCCCCUCCUCCCCUUCUACAGACACACUCUUUCUCUCACACACCACACACACACACCCUCUCUCUUUCUCUCUGUCUCUCUGUCUCUGUCUCUGUCUCUCUCUCACACACAUGCAUGCACAUUCUCUCUCUCUCUCUCUCUCUCUCUCUCACACACACACACACACACACACAUAUGCAGGCAUGCAUGCACACAUACAUGGGGGUGGGAUGGGGGGUUUUAUUUGCAUUGUAUCCCAUGGCAGUCACACCAGGAGACCCAGACUCAUCUUUCCCUUUGGAAUUAGCACUGCUUGCCUCUCUAUUCAUUCAGGUAAUUAAGAGGUAACCAUGAGGGAAUUCACAGUCUGGCCUGCACGCUGAGACACAUCACAUGACCAGGCAGUUUCUAAUUACCACCCCACAGUGGAACAUGCCAGGAUGUGGUUCUUCAGUGUUGGUGGGUACUACAGUUUCAAUGCGAAACCUCCCCCAUAAGCUCAUGUGUUUGAACAAUUGGUUCCCGGCUAGUGGAGCUGUUUGAGAUGGCUAUGGAACCUUCAGGAGGUGGAGCCUUGCUGGAGGAAGUAUGUCAUUGGGGGUGGGCCUUGAGAGUUUAUAGCUUCACCCACUUCCUGUUCUUUUUCUGCUUCUGGACCAUGAAUGCAAUGUGCAAGGCCAGCCUCAUUCUCCUGCAGGCCAUGUGUUUUGCUACCGUAAUGGACUUACUUGAAACCUGAGGCCAGUUCUCUGAGCUCUGAGCUUGCUGUAGGAGUCAUGCCCAUGUCCUUGGAUAAUAAAGACUUGCCCUUGGAGGAAGGACGAGAAGGCAGCCUUGACUUUUCUUCUUCCUUUUCCAUCAUGGCCUACAGUGUUCCCUCAACAAAGGACAAUAUCCCACCUUUCCCCUGGGAACCUAGAGUCCCAUGCAGACGACUCUCCUCAACACACGUUGGUACAGCAUGUCAGCAUGUCUGAGUAUCUCGGAGUCCACGCCCUGCAGACGCCAGUCCCAGGAUGGCCGUAUGAUACUGGCUUCUCUUGAUCUCUCCAUUUGUUGACAAAGCAAUGAACUCAUGGGAGCUGCCUGAGAACCCUGCAGGAGCAGCGGC